AUAUCAGUCAUGCAUAGCAUAUCAAUAAGCGGAGGAAAAGGAACUAACAAGGAUUCCCUUAGUAACGGCGAGUGAAGCGGGAAGAGCUCAAAUUUGAAAUCUUCAAGGUUUUACCUUGACGAAUUGUAGUUUAAAGAAGUGUUUUCUGUUGAAGUUUUGGUAAAAGUUCUUUGGAAUAGGACAUCAUAGAGGGUGAGAAUCCCGUAUUUGACCAUUACUUUCAGCUUUGUGAUACACUUUCAAAGAGUCGGAUUGUUUGGGAAUGCAGUCCAAAAUGGGUGGUAAAUUUCAUCUAAAGCUAAAUAUUGGCGAGAGACCGAUAGCGAACAAGUACCGUGAGGGAAAGAUGAAAAGAACUUUGAAAAGAGAGUUAAACAGUACGUGAAAUUGUCAAAAGGGAAGCGUUUGACACCAGUGUUGUUUUCUCGAAAAUCAAUUAAAAAGAGUUGGAUUUUGUGUUGUAUUGACUUUAUCGGCUUUCUUCACUCUUUUCCAGCUUUUUUUAAUGCACUUUUCGUUUAACAAGUCAACAUCAGUUUCUUUUGUUGUAAAAAGGUCAUUGGAAGGUGGCUUUCUCUUCGGAGAAAGUGUUUAUAGCCUUUGACUCAUGCAAUCGGAGAGACUGAGGUCUGCAGCGUAGAUCCUUCGGGGUUAGAUACAUUUGUGCUAAGUUAUAGCUUUUCAUAGACAACUUGUUGACUAUGUUUAGUCUUGUAGCUUACUCGCUUAUGCUAUUUUACCUACGCUUAGGAUGUUGAACUCUAUCACACACAG
rnacentral:rRNA from 1 species